AUGCUCACUUUGAUAGCACAUAUACACAAAUUGGAACUAGACAAGAAAGAUUAGCAUGGCCCCUGUAUAAAGAUGGCAUAGAAAUUCAUGAAGCAUUCCAUAUUGUU